UUAAGCGACUAAGCGUACACGGUGGAUGCCCUGGCAGUCAGAGGCGAUGAAGGACGUGCUAAUCUGCGAUAAGCGUCGGUAAGGUGAUAUGAACCGUUAUAACCGGCGAUUUCCGAAUGGGGAAACCCAGUGUGAUUCGUCACACUAUCAUUAACUGAAUCCAUAGGUUAAUGAGGCGAACCGGGGGAACUGAAACAUCUAAGUACCCCGAGGAAAAGAAAUCAACCGAGAUUCCCCCAGUAGCGGCGAGCGAACGGGGAGCAGCCCAGAGCCUGAAUCAGUGUGUGUGUUAGUGGAAGCGUCUGGAAAGGCGCGCGAUACAGGGUGACAGCCCCGUACACAAAAAUGCACAUGCUGUGAGCUCGAUGAGUAGGGCGGGACACGUGGUAUCCUGUCUGAAUAUGGGGGGACCAUCCUCCAAGGCUAAAUACUCCUGACUGACCGAUAGUGAACCAGUACCGUGAGGGAAAGGCGAAAAGAACCCCGGCGAGGGGAGUGAAAAAGAACCUGAAACCGUGUACGUACAAGCAGUGGGAGCACGCUUCGGCGUGUGACUGCGUACCUUUUGUAUAAUGGGUCAGCGACUUAUAUUCUGUAGCAAGGUUAACCGAAUAGGGGAGCCGAAGGGAAACCGAGUCUUAACUGGGCGUUAAGUUGCAGGGUAUAGACCCGAAACCCGGUGAUCUAGCCAUGGGCAGGUUGAAGGUUGGGUAACACUAACUGGAGGACCGAACCGACUAAUGUUGAAAAAUUAGCGGAUGACUUGUGGCUGGGGGUGAAAGGCCAAUCAAACCGGGAGAUAGCUGGUUCUCCCCGAAAGCUAUUUAGGUAGCGCCUCGUGAAUUCAUCUCCGGGGGUAGAGCACUGUUUCGGCAAGGGGGUCAUCCCGACUUACCAACCCGAUGCAAACUGCGAAUACCGGAGAAUGUUAUCACGGGAGACACACGGCGGGUGCUAACGUCCGUCGUGAAGAGGGAAACAACCCAGACCGCCAGCUAAGGUCCCAAAGUCAUGGUUAAGUGGGAAACGAUGUGGGAAGGCCCAGACAGCCAGGAUGUUGGCUUAGAAGCAGCCAUCAUUUAAAGAAAGCGUAAUAGCUCACUGGUCGAGUCGGCCUGCGCGGAAGAUGUAACGGGGCUAAACCAUGCACCGAAGCUGCGGCAGCGACACUAUGUGUUGUUGGGUAGGGGAGCGUUCUGUAAGCCUGUGAAGGUGUACUGUGAGGUAUGCUGGAGGUAUCAGAAGUGCGAAUGCUGACAUAAGUAACGAUAAAGCGGGUGAAAAGCCCGCUCGCCGGAAGACCAAGGGUUCCUGUCCAACGUUAAUCGGGGCAGGGUGAGUCGACCCCUAAGGCGAGGCCGAAAGGCGUAGUCGAUGGGAAACAGGUUAAUAUUCCUGUACUUGGUGUUACUGCGAAGGGGGGACGGAGAAGGCUAUGUUGGCCGGGCGACGGUUGUCCCGGUUUAAGCGUGUAGGCUGGUUUUCCAGGCAAAUCCGGAAAAUCAAGGCUGAGGCGUGAUGACGAGGCACUACGGUGCUGAAGCAACAAAUGCCCUGCUUCCAGGAAAAGCCUCUAAGCAUCAGGUAACAUCAAAUCGUACCCCAAACCGACACAGGUGGUCAGGUAGAGAAUACCAAGGCGCUUGAGAGAACUCGGGUGAAGGAACUAGGCAAAAUGGUGCCGUAACUUCGGGAGAAGGCACGCUGAUAUGUAGGUGAAGCGACUUGCUCGUGGAGCUGAAAUCAGUCGAAGAUACCAGCUGGCUGCAACUGUUUAUUAAAAACACAGCACUGUGCAAACACGAAAGUGGACGUAUACGGUGUGACGCCUGCCCGGUGCCGGAAGGUUAAUUGAUGGGGUUAGCGGUAACGCGAAGCUCUUGAUCGAAGCCCCGGUAAACGGCGGCCGUAACUAUAACGGUCCUAAGGUAGCGAAAUUCCUUGUCGGGUAAGUUCCGACCUGCACGAAUGGCGUAAUGAUGGCCAGGCUGUCUCCACCCGAGACUCAGUGAAAUUGAACUCGCUGUGAAGAUGCAGUGUACCCGCGGCAAGACGGAAAGACCCCGUGAACCUUUACUAUAGCUUGACACUGAACAUUGAGCCUUGAUGUGUAGGAUAGGUGGGAGGCUUUGAAGUGUGGACGCCAGUCUGCAUGGAGCCGACCUUGAAAUACCACCCUUUAAUGUUUGAUGUUCUAACGUUGGCCCGUUAUCCGGGUUGCGGACAGUGUCUGGUGGGUAGUUUGACUGGGGCGGUCUCCUCCUAAAGAGUAACGGAGGAGCACGAAGGUUGGCUAAUCCUGGUCGGACAUCAGGAGGUUAGUGCAAUGGCAUAAGCCAGCUUGACUGCGAGCGUGACGGCGCGAGCAGGUGCGAAAGCAGGUCAUAGUGAUCCGGUGGUUCUGAAUGGAA
rnacentral:rRNA from 1 species